AUUAGGUUAUGGGGCUAGGGAAGGUUUAAUGUUUUUGGCGUUAGGGUUAAAAUCACUGUCCAAAACCUUUUUAGGAACAUGUUUCAGACCUUAUGGAGUUAGUUACACAAAAAAAAAAAUUGUAAAAUUAAAAAGAAAUAUUUGGGGUGUUCGGGCUUCCUGAAGGUAAUACCCGGGUAUUAGGUUAUGGGGCUAGGGUAAGGUUUAAGGUUUUUGGCAUUAGGGUUAAAAUCACUGUCCAAAACCUUUUUAGGAACUCUUUUCCAACCUUUUGGAGUUAGUUAGACCAAAAAAAAAAGAAAAAUGAAAAAAAAAUAUUUGGGGUGUUCGGGCUUCCUGAAGGUAAUACCCGGGUAUUAGGUUAUGGGGCUAGGGUAAGGUUUAAGGUUUUUGGCGUAAGGGUUAAAAUCACUGUCCAAAACCUUUGUAGGAACUCUUUUCCAACCUUUUGGAGUUAGUUAGACCAAAAAAAAAAAAAUGAAAAAAAAAUGUUUGGGGUGUUCGGGCUUCCUGAAGGUAAUACCCGGGUAUUAGGUUAUGGGGCUUUGGUAAGGUUUAAGGUUUUUGGCGUUAGGGUUAAAAUCCCUGUCCAAAACCUUUGUAGGAACUCUUUUCCAACCUUUUGGUGUUAGUUAGACCUAAAAAAAAACGAAAAAUGAAAAAAAAAUGUUUGGGGUGUUCGGGCUUUCUGAAGGUUAUACCCAGGUAUUAGGUUAUGGGGCUAGGGAAAGGUUUAAUGUUUUUGGCGUUAGGGUUAAAAUCACUGUCCAAAACCUUUUUAGGAACUCUUUUCCAACCUUUUGGAGUUAGUUACACAAAAAAAAAAUUUGUAAAAUUAAAAAGAAAUAUUUGAGGUGUUCGGGCUUCCUGAAGGUAAUACCCAGGUAUUAGGUUAUGGGGCUUUGGUAAGGUUUAAGGUUUUUGGCAUUAGGGUUAAAAUCACUGUCCAAAACCUUUUAGGAACUCUUUUCCAACCUUUUGGAGUUAGUUAGUUAGACCUAAAAAAAACGAAAAAUGAAAAAAAAAUAUUUGGGGUGUUCGGGCUUCCUGAAGGUAAUACCCGGGUAUUAGGUUAUGGGGCUAGGGUAAGGUUUAAGGUUUUUGGCGUUAGGGUUAAAAUCACUGUCCAAAACCUUUGUAGGAACAUGUUUCAGACCUUAUGGAGUUAGUUACACAAAAAAAAAAAAUUGUAAAAUUAAAAAAAAAAUAUUUGGGGUGUUCGGGCUUCCUGAAGGUAAUACCCGGGUAUUAGGUUAUGGGGCUUUGGUAAGGUUUAAGGUUUUUGGCAUUAGGGUUAAAAUAACUGUCCAAAACCUUUUUAGGAACUCUUUUCCAACCUUUUGGAGUUAGUUAGUUAGACCUAAAAAAAAAGAAAAAUGAAAAAAAAAUGUUUGGGGUGUUGGGGCUUCCUGAAGGUAAUUAAGUUAUGGGGCUUUGGUAAGGUUUAAGGUUUUUGGCAUUAGGGUUAAAAUCACUGUCCAAAACCUUUGUAGGAACUCUUUUCCAACCUUUUGGAGUUAGUUAGACCAAAAAAAAAAGAAAAAUGAAAAAAAAAUAUUUGGGGUGUUCGGGCUUCCUGAAGGUAAUACCCGGGUAUUAGGUUAUGGGGCUAGGGUAAGGUUUAAGGUUUUUGGCAUUAGGGUUAAAAUCACUGUCCAAAACCUUUGUAGGAACUCUUUCCCAACCUUUUGGAGUUGGUUCCACCAAAAAAAAAAAUUGUAAAAUGAAAAAGAAAUAUUUGGGGUGUUCGGGCUUCCUGAAGGUAAUACCCGGGUAUUAGGUUAUGGGGCUAGGGAAAGGUUUAAGGUUUUUGGCAAUAGGGUUAAAAUCCCUGUCCAAAACCUUUGUAGGAACAUGUUUCAGACCUUUUGAGUUGGUUAUACCAAAAAAAAAAAAUGUAAAAUGAAAAAAAAAGAAUUGGGGUGUUUUGGCCUCCUGAAGGUAAUACCCGUGUAUUAGGUUAUGGGGCUAGGGAAAGGUUUAAUGUUUUUGGCGUUAGGGUUAAAAUCACUGUCCAAAACCUUUUUAGGAACAUGUUUAAGACCUUAUGGAGUUAGUUACACCAAAAAAAAAAUUGUAAAAUGAAAAAGAAAUAUUUGGGGUGUUCGGGCUUCCUGAAGGUAAUACCCGGGUAUUAGGUUAUGGGGCUUUGGUAAGGUUUAAGGUUUUUGGCGUUAGGGUUAAAAUCACUGUCCAAAACCUUUGUAGGAACUCUUUUCCAACCUUUUGGAGUUAGUUAGACCAAAAAAAAAAUGAAAAAUGAAAAAAAAAAUAUUUGGGGUUUUCGGGCUUCCUGAAGGUAAUACCCGGGUAUUAGGUUAUGGGGCUAGGGUAAGGUUUAAG
rnacentral:lncRNA from 1 species